GUGCUCACUUCAGCAGCAUAUAUAUUAAAAUUGGCAUAACAUGGAGAAGAGCAUGCUCCCUGUCAAAGGAUGACACACAAAUUCAUAAAGCAUUCCAUAUUUUA
ensembl:snRNA U6 U6 spliceosomal RNA